rnacentral:rRNA from 1 species
GACAGAGGGUGCAAACGUUGCUCGGAAUUACUGGGCGUAAAGCGCGUGUAGGUGGAUUGGUGUGUCAGAUGUGAAAUCCCUGGGCUCAACCCAGGAACUGCACCUGAAACUACCAGUCUUGAGUGGUGGAGAGGGAAGUGGAAUUCCUGGUGUAGAGGUGAAAUGCGCAGAUAUCAGGAGGAACACCGGUGGCGAAGGCGGCCCGCUGGGCUGUGGCUGACGCUGAGGCGCGACAGCGUGGGGAGCAAACAGG